GCUUCCUAGAGGGGGCUGCAGCUGCUGGAUAGAAGUGCCAUGCGAUCAGAGCAAAGCCAGAGGGGUUGUCUGAUUGUGCCGUUGCUGCUUUCAGAAUCAGACUUUUCCUAAAGACGAUUGGAAAGUUAUUGGAACUCUGCCCCAACCCCUGUUCCCUCUCAACUUUGCUUUGGAAAAUCUGGAGAUUCUUUCCCCACAGAGAGACUGUAGGAGAUUUUUUUUUUUUUUUAAGUUAGUGGGUUUAUUUCUGCUGGAUUUCUUCUUCCUUUUGCCGAGUUGCUUUCCUGUAGCUGUUGUGCUUGGUGGAUGAGGAAGCAGCGUGCAUAUUUGAGAGCUGUGCAGAAAGCCAGAAAACCUCGCUUCAAGUUCUCACACUUUCAAAAACAAGACCUUUAAAAAACCCAAAGACUGUAGUAUCUGCAAACAAGCCAUUGACAGCCAAGGCAUUUCCUGCAGAGUUUGCAAGUAUGCCUGCCACAAGAAAUGUGAAGCAAAGGUGGUGAAACCCUGCUUCCUGCCAAUCAACUACGAACUGGUAAGUGAAUCUGACAGUACUGAUGUCAAUCAGGGGAAGAGUGCAGUUAAAGGACCAGCAGAAGUA
rnacentral:lncRNA from 1 species